GUCUGGAGGUAAGCUGUUCAGAGCUGAUGCGGUGUUUCCAGGCAGCAGGUUGGAGUGUAGUUGCGUGAUCACAGCUCACUGCAGCUUCAAUCCCCGGCUCCAGUGAUUCUCCCACCUCAGCCCCCGAGUAGCUGGGCCUACAGGUGCACAUUACAACACCCAGCUAGUUUCUGCAGUUUUUGUGGAGAGAUCGUUUCACCAUGUUGCCCAGGCAUUUCUCAAACUCCUGUACUCAAGCAAACCUUCCACUUUGGCCCCAAGUACUGGGAUUCAGGCAAGAGCCACCGCGUCUAGCCAAUUAUACAAUUUUUAAAAUAAAUUGAAAUGGUCGUUGAAAAUGUUCAGUAAAAGUUAUAUACUUUCAUCACUUACUUUAGAAAAAUGAGUCAUGUCAGAGUCUGCAGGUCC
rnacentral:lncRNA from 10 species